AAUGCAAGGGAUGAUAGAACAGACAGGGACAUCAGAACUCCUUUCUGGAGAAAGAUGACUUGGUCUUACAAUGGGAAUCUCUCUGAUGCAUU